GACGAACGCUGGCGGCGUGCCUAAUACAUACAAGUUGAGCGCUGAAGGCUGGUACUUGUACCAACUGGAUGAGCAGCGAACGGGUGAGUAACGCGUGGGGAAUCUGCCUUUGAGCGGGGGACAACAUUUGGAAACGAAUGCUAAUACCGCAUAAAAACUUUAAACACAAGUUUUAAGUUUGAAAGAUGCAAUUGCAUCACUCAAAGAUGAUCCCGCGUUGUAUUAGCUAGUUGGUGAGGUAAAGGCUCACCAAGGCGAGGUAACAGAGCCGACCUGAGAGGGUGAGCGGCCACAUUGGGACUGAGACACGGCCCAAACUGCUACAGGAGGGGGCCGUAGGGAAUCUUGGGCAAUGGACGAAAGUCUGACCGAGAAACGCCGCGUGCGGGAAGAAGGUUGUCGGAUCGGAAAACUCUGUUGGUAGGGAAGAACGUGGGUGAGAGUGGAAAGCUCAUCAAGUGACGGUAACUACCCAGAAAGGGACGGCUAACUACGUG
rnacentral:rRNA from 1 species